rnacentral:rRNA from 1 species
AGGGAAACCGAGUCUUAACUGGGCGUUAAGUUGCAGGGUAUAGACCCGAAACCCGGUGAUCUAGCCAUGGGCAGGUUGAAGGUUGGGUAACACUAACUGGAGGACCGAACCGACUAAUGUUGAAAAAUUAGCGGAUGACUUGUGGCUGGGGGUGAAAGGCCAAUCAAACCGGGAGAUAGCUGGUUCUCCCCGAAAGCUAUUUAGGUAGCGCCUCGUGAACUCAUCUUCGGGGGUAGAGCACUGUUUCGGCUAGGGGGUCAUCCCGACUUACCAACCCGAUGCAAACUGCGAAUACCGAAGAAUGUUAUCACGGGAGACACACGGCGGGUGCUAACGUCCGUCGUGAAGAGGGAAACAACCCAGACCGCCAGCUAAGGUCCCAAAGUCACAGUUAAGUGGGAAACGAUGUGGGAAGGCUCAGACAGCCAGGAUGUUGGCUUAGAAGCAGCCAUCAUUUAAAGAAAGCGUAAUAGCUCACUGGUCGAGUCGGCCUGCGCGGAAGAUGUAACGGGGCUAAACUGUGCACCGAAGCUGCGGCAGCGACGCUUAUGCGUUGUUGGGUAGGGGAGCGUUCUGUAAGCCUGCGAAGGUGUCCUGUGAGGGAUGCUGGAGGUAUCAGAAGUGCGAAUGCUGACAUAAGUAACGAUAAUGCGGGUGAAAAGCCCGCUCGCCGGAAGACCAAGGGUUCCUGUCCAACGUUAAUCGGGGCAGGGUGAGUCGACCCCUAAGGCGAGGCCGAAAGGCGUAGUCGAUGGGAAACGGGUUAAUAUUCCCGUACUUGGUGUUACUGCGAAGGGGGGACGGAGAAGGCUAUGUUGGCCGGGCGACGGUUGUCCCGGUUUAAGCGUGU